rnacentral:lncRNA from 1 species
CCAUCGCCCAUAUACUAGAAUUGCUCUACUCUAUAUUCCCAUAUUAUCACUCACUGUUAUCUUACCUUUAAUAUUGUUCUUAUUCUACCAUCUUUCCUAUUCACACCUAUUUACUUAUCUUUGUUAAGUUAGAGCGUAGAUCAGUUCUCCCGUUUCCCUGUGGAUACGAUAAAACCUUUAACCGGGUAAAAGCUUCAACGGUAUCCGUGCGCUUGCGGAUUAUCUGUGUGCGUAUAAAUACCAUAGUACACUCUAGUGCCACGCUGGGGAUGACAACUUAGUAUUCAAGUGGUGUUAGCAAGUGUCAACAUCUAGCCGGACCGUGGUAGUAGCGAGGAACGUGACAUUUCCGAGCUACCUUUGUAUCCCACAUCCCGUUAGCAGGAUCGAUAGGGUUUAUAGGUGCGGGUCGAACAUCCUUUGUGGUGUCUAGAUUCCGUAAGCCUCCCCAAUAGAACAGUAGAUCAUCCUUACCAUGGUUAGAACAAGAGUGCGGUUGUAGUCUUCUCUAUACAUCGUUCACAUCGAAUCACAUUGUUUGUAGCCUAAAGGGUAGUAGCAAUAGAUUUGGUUAGUUAGAUGCACGCUUUCUCCCAGUGGUAAAAAUAUAAAUACGAUACUCUGGAUAACC